GAUGAACGCUGGCGGCGUGCCUAAGAUAUGCAAGUCGAGCGGUAACACUUCGGGUGACGAGCGGCGGACGGCUUAGUAACGCGUAGGAACGUACCCUAAAGUGAGGGAUAGCCCACCGAAAGGUGGAUUAAUACCGCAUGUGCUCUUCGGAGUAAACUUUCGAGGCUUUAGGAGCGGCCUGCGUAUGAUUAGCUUGUUGGUGAGGUAAUGGCUCACCAAGGCGACGAUCAUUAGCUGGUCUGAGAGGAUGAUCCGCCACACUGGGACUGAGACACGGCCCAGACUCCUACGGGAGGCAGCAGUGGGAAUAUUGGACAAUGGGGGGAACCCUGAUCCAGCCAUGCCGCGUGUGUGAAGAAGGCCUUAUGGUUGUAAAGCACUUUAAGCGAGGAGGAGGCUCUUUUGGUUAAUACCCAAGAUGAGUGGACGUUACUCGCAGAAUAAGCACCGGCUAACUCUGUGCCAGCCGCCGCAGUAA
rnacentral:rRNA from 1 species